rnacentral:lncRNA from 1 species
AGCAAGAGUCCUAAAAAAAUGUUUUUCUGAUAAGUGGAGUUUUUGAAACAUUGCAAUGGAGAUUUCACCUGAAAAAGCUACAAGGGUGUUACACUUGUGUUAUGUGUUGUAUGUUGGUAUGUCUGUAUGUGUGUAUGUCCAUAUAUCCUGCAGUGAUAUGACAAUUGACAGAUGAGGAGCGCUCAUGAAAAAUUUAAAAAUAGAUCCAAAUAUCUUUGAUUCACGUGAUUCAAAUGGUUCAAUUUAAAUUGGGUAAACAGAUAAAAGUAAAGAUGUCUUUAAAAUUAAGCUUAUAAGUUUUUCUACGUGUUCAAAAAGACCCUAAUAAAAUGUUGAUGUCUAUGUAAUAAUCUGCCUAAAUUCAGAAAUUUACAGAUAUUGUUUCAAAAUGUGAACAGAAGGAGGUUAACAGAUGGAAAAGAGAAACUAAAAGGUUCUAGGUAUGGAUUUAGUAGAGAGAAAAUGUGUUUCUGGAUAAGAGAGUCUAUGUGAUUAAGUAAUUAAGAGGGUUUAAGUAAGUGAUAAAGAAGGUCUGUGUAAAUUGGUUAUGUGUGUUAGUUUUUGAGCAAGUAAUCUUAAAAGAAAUUAAAAAUUAUACAACUAUGGUUAAACAAUAGCUGUUAUUUUUCAAUAUUGUAAUGUUGUUUAUUUAGAAAGCUAACCUUGGUUAAUAAAAAUCAUCAAUGUUAAAAAAAAA